rnacentral:tRNA from 1 species
GGCUCUGUGGCGCAAUGGAUAGCGCAUUGGACUUCUAGUAGAAACGCAUCAGAAGUGAUUCAAAGGUUGUGGGUUCGAGUCCCACCAGAGUCG